CGGGGAGUAGCGCAGUCUGGUAGCGCAUCUGCUUUGGGAGCAGAGGGUCGGAGGUUCGAAUCCUCUCUCCCCGACCA
rnacentral:tRNA from 2 species